AUUGAACGCUGGCGGCAUGCUUUACACAUGCAAGUCGAACGGUAACAGGCCUUCGGGUGCUGACGAGUGGCGAACGGGUGAGUAAUGCAUCGGAACGUGCCCAGAGGUGGGGGAUAACGCAGCGAAAGCUGUGCUAAUACCGCAUGUGAUCUGAGGAUGAAAGCGGGGGACCAGGCAGCAAUGUUUGGCUUCGCGCCUUUGGAGCGGCCGAUGUCAGAUUAGGUGGUUGGUGGGGUAAAGGCCUACCAAGCCGACGAUCUGUAGCUGGUCUGAGAGGACGACCAGCCACACUGGGACUGAGACACGGCCCAGACUCCUACGGGAGGCAGCAGUGGGGAAUUUUGGACAAUGGGCGCAAGCCUGAUCCAGCAAUGCCGCGUGCGGGAAGAAGGCCUUCGGGUUGUAAACCGCUUUUGUACGGAACGAAAAGGCUCUGGCUAAUACCUGGGGCUAAUGACGGUACCGUAAGAAUAAGCACCGGCUAACUACGUG
rnacentral:rRNA from 1 species